AAAUGCGAUCAUACAAACUCAUAUGCACUGGAUCCUAUCAGAAUUCCGAAGUUAAGGAGUUUAGGCAAGAGUAGUACUAGGAUGGGUGACCUCCCAGGAAGUCCUCAUGUUGCUUCCC
rnacentral:rRNA from 1 species